rnacentral:rRNA from 1 species
UACGUAGGGGGCAAGCGUUGUUCGGAAUUACUGGGCGUAAAGGGCGCGUAGGCGGCAGGCCAAGUCGGGAGUGAAAGCCCGGGGCUCAACCCCGGAAUGUCUUUCGAAACUGGCCAGCUGGAGUGCGGAAGAGGCAACUGGAAUUCCCAGUGUAGCGGUGAAAUGCGUAGAUAUUGGGAAGAACACCUGAGGCGAAGGCGGGUUGCUGGGCCGACACUGACGCUGAGGCGCGAAAGCCAGGGGAGCAAACAGG